UACGAGAUGCUCAGGAGUCUCGUGGGCUCGGAGAUGUGUAUAAGAGACAGCAGUAAGGCUGAGUGUUAGGCAAAUCCGGCACUCAUAAGGCUGAGCUGUGAUGGGGAGAGGAAAUUGUUUCCUCGAGUCGUUGAUUUCACACUGCCGAGAAAAGCCUCUAGAUAGAUAACAGGUGCCCGUACCGCAAACCGACACAGGUAGUCAAGAUGAGAAUUCUAAGGUGAGCGAGCGAACUCUCGUUAAGGAACUCGGCAAAAUGACCCCGUAACUUCGGGAGAAGGGGUGCUCUUUAGGGUUCACGCCCAGAAGAGCCGCAGUGAAUAGGCCCAAGCGACUGUUUAUCAAAAACACAGGUCUCUGCUAAACCGUAAGGUGAUGUAUAGGGGCUGACGCCUGCCCGGUGCUGGAAGGUUAAGAGGAGUGGUUAGCUUCUGCGAAGCUACGAAUCGAAGCCCCAGUAAACGGCGGCCGUAACUAUAACGGUCCUAAGGUAGCGAAAUUCCUUGUCGGGUAAGUUCCGACCCGCACGAAAGGCGUAACGAUUUGGGCACUGUCUCAACGAGAGACUCGGUGAAAUCAUAGUACCUGUGAAGAUGCAGGUUACCCGCGACAGGACGGAAAGACCCCGUGGAGCUUUACUGUAGCCUGAUAUUGAAAUUCGGCACAGCUUGUACAGGAUAGGUAGGAGCCUUUGAAACGUGAGCGCUAGCUUACGUGGAGGCGUUGGUGGGAUACUACCCUAGCUGUGUUGGCUUUCUAACCCGCACCACUUAUCGUGGUGGGAGACAGUGUCAGGCGGGCAGUUUGACUGGGGCGGUCGCCUCCUAAAAGGUAACGGAGGCGCUCAAAGGUUCCCUCAGAAUGGUUGGAAAUCAUUCAUAGAGUGUAAAGGCAUAAGGGAGCUUGACUGCGAGACCUACAAGUCGAGCAGGGUCGAAAGACGGACUUAGUGAUCCGGUGGUUCCGCAUGGAAGGGCCAUCGCUCAACGGAUAAAAGCUACCCCGGGGAUAACAGGCUUAUCUCCCCCAAGAGUUCACAUCGACGGGGAGGUUUGGCACCUCGAUGUCGGCUCAUCGCAUCCUGGGGCUGUAGUCGGUCCCAAGGGUUGGGCUGUUCGCCCAUUAAAGCGGUACGCGAGCUGGGUUCAGAACGUCGUGAGACAGUUCGGUCCCUAUCCGUCGUGGGCGUAGGAAAUUUGAGAGGAGCUGUCCUUAGUACGAGAGGACCGGGAUGGACAUACCUCUGGUGUACCAGUUGUCGUGCCAACGGCAUAGCUGGGUAGCUAUGUAUGGACGGGAUAAGUGCUGAAAGCAUCUAAGCAUGAAGCCCCCCUCAAGAUGAGAUUUCCCAACUUCGGUUAUAAGAUCCCUCGAAGAUGACGAGGUUAAUAGGUUCGAGGUGGAAGCGUGGUGACACGUGGAGCUGACGAAUACUAAUCGAUCGAAGACUUAAUC
rnacentral:rRNA from 1 species